rnacentral:rRNA from 1 species
AAUCAACGCUGGCGGCGUGCCUAACACAUGCAAGUCGAGCGAGAAAAGGGGAGCAAUCCUCUGAGUACAGCGGCGCACGGGUGAGUAACACGUGGGUAAUCUGCCCUGGAGUGGGGAAUAACACCGGGAAACCGGUGCUAAUACCGCAUACGAUGAUUGGAUCUGCGGAUUUGAUCAUGAAAGGAGCAAUUCGCUCCAGGAGGAGCCCGCGGCUGAUUAGCUAGUUGGUGAGGUAAUGGCUCACCAAGGCAUCGAUCAGUAGCCGGUCUGAGAGGACGGUCGGCCACACUGGAACUGAGACACGGUCCAGACUCCUACGGGAGGCAGCAGUGGGGAAUUUUUGGUCAAUGGGCGAAAGCCUGACGCAGCGACGCCGCGUGAGGGA